rnacentral:rRNA from 1 species
CUAGCUGUAAACGAUGGAUACUAGGCGUUGAGAGUAUCGACCCUCUCAGUGUCGUAGCUAACGCGUUAAGUAUCCCGCCUGGGGAGUACGCGCGCAAGCGUGAAACUCAAAGGAAUUGACGGGGGCCCGCACAAGCGGUGGAGUAUGUGGUCUAAUUCGAUGCAACGCGAAGAACCUUACCAGGGCUUGACAUGUCCGGAACCCUGCCCAAAGGCGGGGGUGCCUACGGGAACCGGAACACAGGUGGUGC